UACGAAGGGGGCUAGCGUUGUUCGGAAUUACUGGGCGUAAAGCGCACGUAGGCGGAUAUUUAAGUCAGGGGUGAAAUCCCAGAGCUCAACUCCAGAACUGCCUUUGAUACUGAGGAUCUUGAGUAUGGGAGAGGUGAGUGGAACUGCGAGUGUAGAGGUGAAAUUCGUAGAUAUUCGCAAGAACACCAGUGGCGAAGGCGGCUCACUGGCCCAUUACUGACGCUGAGGCACGAAAGCGUGGGGAGCAAACAGG
rnacentral:rRNA from 1 species